AUACGGAGGGGGCUAGCGUCGUUCGGAAUUACUGGGCGUAAAGCGUACGUAGGCGGACUGAUCAGUUGGGGGUGAAAUCCCAGGGCUUAACCCUGGAACUGCCUUCAAUACUGUCAGUCUUGAGAUUGGAAGAGGUGAGUGGAAUUCCUAGUGUAGAGGUGAAAUUCAUAGAUAUUAGGAGGAACACCAGUGGCGAAGGCGGCUCACUGGUCCAAUACUGACGCUGAGGUACGAAAGCGUGGGGAGCAAACAGGAUUAGAAACCCUAGUAGUCC
rnacentral:rRNA from 1 species